rnacentral:rRNA from 1 species
GGUACCUACGGACCGACGGCCGCGUGAAUGGUUGUGGGGCAGGCGUUAUCCGGAAUGCCUGGGUGGUACAGGGGAGUAGACGGAAUAGCAAGUCGGAUUGGAAAGGCCAGGGCUCAACCCCGGAACUGCAUGGGAAACUGUCAAGCGAGAGUACCGGAGGGGUAAGUGGAAUUGCUAGUGUAGCGGUGAAAUGCGUAGAUAUUAGGAGGAACACCAGUGGCGAAGGCGGCUUACUGGACGAUAACUGACGUUGAGGCUCGAAAGCGUGGGGAGCAAACAGGAUUAGAUACCCCAGUAGUC